rnacentral:rRNA from 1 species
GACGAACGCUGGCGGCGGGCUUAACACAUGCAAGUCGAACGGAAAGGCCCUGCUUUUGUGGGGUGCUCGAGUGGCGACCGGGUGAGUAACACGUGAGUAACCUGCCCUUCACUUUGGGAUAACUUCAUAAAACUGGGGCUCAUACCGGAUAGGAGCUCCUGCUGCAUGGUGGGGGUGGGAAAGUUUCGGCGGUUGGGGAUGUACUCGCGGCGUAUCAGCUUGUUGGUGGGGUAGUGGCUGACCAAGGCUUGGCAGCGUAGCCGGGCUGAGAGGGUGAGCGGACACGUUAGGACUGAGCUGCGACACAGCCUCGUAUGGGACGGAGGGGUGGAGAGUAGAAUCCAGCGGGCGGGAGCCUGAUGCAGCGACGCCGCGUGCGGGGAAACGUGAUUCUGGUUGGAAUGCGCUAUUGCUUGUGAGGAGGCGUGAGUGACGGUACCGGGUAAAGAAGCACCGGCUAACUACGUG